GAUGAACGCUGGCGGCGUGCCUAAUACAUGCCAGUCGAGCGAACAGACGAGGAGCUUGCUCCUCUGACGUUAGCGGCGGACGGGUGAGUAACACGUGGAUAACCUACCUAUAAGACUGGGAUAACUUCGGGAAACCGGAGCUAAUACCGGAUAAUAUAUUGAACCGCAUGGUUCAAUAGUGAAAGACGGUUUUGCUGUCACUUAUAGAUGGAUCCGCGCCGCAUUAGCUAGUUGGUAAGGUAACGGCUUACCAAGGCAACGAUGCGUAGCCGACCUGAGAGGGUGAUCGGCCACACUGGAACUGAGACACGGUCCAGACUCCUACGGGAGGCAGCAGUAGGGAAUCUUCCGCAAUGGGCGAAAGCUUGACGGAGCAACGCCGCGUGAGUGAUGAAGGUCUUCGGAUCGUAAAACUCUGUUAUUAGGGAAGAACAAAUGUGUAAGUAACUAUGCACGUCUUGACGGUACCUAAUCAGAAAGCCACGGCUAACUACAUG
rnacentral:rRNA from 1 species